rnacentral:lncRNA from 1 species
GCAAGUGUUUCAUCAUUAUGGGCCAACUGUAACUAGGAGGGAGAUUAGGGCAUCUCCAUGCACCUUCAGAUUGGCCUCAUGGUGAGAAUUGAUUUGCCAAGGUGAAAGCUUCAUGGUAAGCUCACGGCACACUCUAAUUGGUAUGUUCUACCAUGUUUGCUGUAGUUAGUUUCAAGGUAUAUCACUUGCCCCCUCCUCCCACCCACUUUUG